GGACGGCCGCGGUGAGGGGGCUACCCCUCCCCUCUCACGGGCGUGAGGCCCGUGAGCCGCAAACGGGGGUUACGGCGGCACCGCAAUCAUCCCCAGGGAGGCGGUCGCCCCUGUCAGGGGAGGUCAGUGGCCGACGAUGAUAUCCCGUCCCGUGGGGUCGCCGUAGGCCGAUAGGCCUCUCGGAAGAGGGGCCGAAUCGGCUGUACUGGCCGAAACGGGUUAGGCCCGGAAGGGAGCGGCCCUAAGGCCAGGCGGCGGCGUUCACGGGGGAGCGGGGUUGAGAAGGAGCUGACUCAUCCCCUGGCAUGGGUGGCCGUCGAACUGGGGAGAGUGCCGUCC
rnacentral:SRP_RNA from 1 species